GCCCUCGUUGUCUAAUGGUUAUGACGUCAGACUUCUAUGGAGCGGAUCUGGAGGUUGCGGGUUCGAAUCCCGCCGGGGGUU
rfam:Coniophora puteana RWD-64-598 SS2 unplaced genomic scaffold CONPTscaffold_14, whole genome shotgun sequence.